AACGAACGCUGGCGGCAGGCUUAACACAUGCAAGUCGAGCGCCCCGCAAGGGGAGCGGCAGACGGGUGAGUAACGCGUGGGAACGCACCCUUUGCUACGGAAUAGCUCCGGGAAACUGGAAUUAAUACCGUAUGUGCCCUACGGGGGAAAGAUUUAUCGGCAAAGGAUCGGCCCGCGUUGGAUUAGCUAGUUGGUGGGGUAAUGGCCUACCAAGGCGACGAUCCAUAGCUGGUCUGAGAGGAUGAUCAGCCACAUUGGGACUGAGACACGGCCCAAACUCCUACGGGAGGCAGCAGUGGGGAAUAUUGGACAAUGGGCGCAAGCCUGAUCCAGCCAUGCCGCGUGAGUGAUGAAGGCCUUAGGGUUGUAAAGCUCUUUCACCGGAGAAGAUAAUGACGGUAUCCGGAGAAGAAGCCCCGGCUAACUUCGUGCCAGCCGCCGCCGCAGUAA
rnacentral:rRNA from 1 species